GAUGAACGCUGGCGGCGUGCCUAAUACAUGCAAGUCGAGCGAACGGACGAGAAGCUUGCUUCUCUGAUGUUAGCGGCGGACGGGUGAGUAACACGUGGAUAACCUACCUAUAAGACUGGGAUAACUUCGGGAAACCGGCGCUAAUACCGGAUAAUCUUUUGAACCGCAUGGUUCAAAAGUGAAAGACGGUCUUGCUGUCACUUCUCGAUGGAUCCGCGCUGCAUUAGCUAGUUGGUAAGGUAACGGCUUACCAAGGCAACGAUGCAUAGCCGACCUGAGAGGGUGAUCGGCCACACUGGAACUGAGACACGGUCAAGACGCCUACGGGAGGCAGCAGUAGGGAAUCUUCCGCAAAGGGCGAAAGCCUGACGGAGCAACGCCGCGUGAGUGAUGAAGGUCUUCGGAUCGUAAAACUCUGUUAUUAGGGAAGAACAUAUGUGUAAGUAACUGUGCACAUCUUGACGGUACCUAAUCAGAAAGCCACGGCUAACUACGUG
rnacentral:rRNA from 1 species